rnacentral:rRNA from 1 species
GGAGCGAUCUCUCUAUAUCGCGCGAGCGAAGGCGGGCAGAGCUCAAUUUGAAAGCUGGCACCUCUCGGGUGUCCGCUCUUGUAAUCUCGAGACGUGUUUUCCGUGCGGCUCUAUGGACAAGUCCCUUGUGAAUAGGGCAUCGUAAAGGGUGAGAAUCCCGUACUUGCCAUGGAAGAACCGUGCUUUGCGAUACACGCUCUAAGAGUCGAGUUGUUUGGGAUUGCAGCUCAAAAUGGGUGGUAGACUCCAUCUAAAGCUAAAUAUCGGGGAGAGACCGAUAGCGAACAAGUACCGUGAGGGAAAGAUGAAAAGCACUUUGGAAAGAGAGUUAAAAGUACGUGAAAUUGUCAAAAGGAAAGCACUUGAAGUCAGCCAUGCUGCUUGAGACUCAGCCUGGCCUUUGGUCUUGGUGUAUCUCUCGGUGGGAGCCAGCAUUGGUUUGGGUCGUCGGAGAAGCGCAUAGGGAGUGUCUUGCUUCGGACGUGUUAUAGCCUGUGCGAGAUACGACGACCUGGAUCAAGGAUGCAGUGUGCUCUCUGGGCGGGUCUUCAGACUCUUCACACUUAGGAUGCUGGCAUAGUGACUUUAAGUGGCCCGUCUUGAAACACGGAU